AUUGAACGCUGGCGGCAGGCUUAACACAUGCAAGUCGAGCGGAGAGAGGUAGCUUGCUACUGAUCUUAGCGGCGGACGGGUGAGUAAUGCUUAGGAAUCUGCCUAUUAGUGGGGGACAACAUUUCGAAAGGAAUGCUAAUACCGCAUACGUCCUACGGGAGAAAGCAGGGGAUCGUCGGACCUUGCGCUAAUAGAUGAGACUAAGUCGGAUUAGCUAGUUGGUGGGGCAAAGGCCUACCAAGGCGACGAUCUGUAGCGGGUCUGAGAGGAUGGUCCACGACGCUGGGGAUGCGACACCGCGCAGAGUCCUACGGGAGGCAGCAGUGGGGAAUAUUGGACCAUGGGCCGAAGCCUGAUCCAGCCACGCCGCGUGUGUGAAGAAGGCCUUAUGGUUGUAAAGCACUUUAAGCGAGGAGGAGGCUACUUUAGUUAAUACCUAGAGAUAGUGGACGUUACUCGCAGAAUAAGCACCGGCUAACUCUGUGCCAGCCGCCGCAGUAACAC
rnacentral:rRNA from 1 species